UAACGCGUGGGUAACCUGCCCUUUUGUGGGGAACAACUUCGAGAAAUCGGAGCUAAUACCGCAUAAUAAUAGAGGAUCGCAUGAUUCUUUAAGGAAAGAUGGCCUCUGAAGAUGCUAUCGCAAAAGGAUGGACCCGCGUCUGAUUAGCUAGUUGGAAGGGUAACGGCCUACCAAGGCAACGAUCAGUAGCCGGCCUGAGAGGGUGAACGGCCACAUUGGGACUGAGACACGGCCCAAACUCCUACGGGAGGCAGCAGUGGGGAAUCUUCCGCAAUGGGCGAAAGCCUGACGGAGCAAUGCCGCGUGAGUGAAGAAGGCCUUCGGGUUGUAAAACUCUGUCCUUAUCGAAGAGAGGUAGGUAUGUGAAUAAUGUACCUAUAGGACGGUAGAUAAGGAGGAAGCCCCGGCUAACUACGUGCCAGCAGCCGCGGUAAUACGUAGGGGGCGAGCGUUGUCCGGAAUCACUGGGCGUAAAGGGCGCGUAGGCGGUUUAAUAAGUCAGUGGUGAAAACUGAGGGCUCAACCCUCAGCCUGCCACUGAUACUGUUAGACUUGAGUAUGGAAGAGGAGAAUGGAAUUCCUAGUGUAGCGGUGAAAUGCGUAGAUAUUAGGAGGAACACCAGUGGCGAAGGCGAUUCUCUGGGCCAAGACUGACGCUGAGGCGCGAAAGCGUGGGGGAGCAAACAGGAUUAGAUACCCUGGUAGU
rnacentral:rRNA from 1 species